UCUCGCUGGACGCAUGAAUCGUGUUGUUGUGGGGACAAUAGCACCAGAUUGUUACGCGGUGUGUUCAUGUGCGUCAUUAGAUAAACGGCUCAAGUUGAUUCAACGCUCUCUAUUGUUUUCUGACAGACACCCUGGAGGAGGUGCAAAUGAGUGGGGGUGCAUUCAGCUGAUGGAGAUGUUUGCCUAAAAGGGAUAUGACAGACUCUAC